UGUUCAGAAUGUAAAAACACAAUUCGGUUGGUAGUCCGAAUGCAUCACAUAUGAUGUCAGUAACCUUCCCCUCCUCGGGAUGUCCGUCAUUCUAAUAUUUAUU
rnacentral:ncRNA from 1 species